UGGGGAAUCUUGCACAAUGGGGGCAACCCUGAUGCAGCGACGCCGCGUGAGCGAUGAAGCCCUUCGGGGUGUAAAGCUCUUUCGGCAGGGACGAUUAUGACGGUACCUGCAGAAGCAGCUGCGGCUAACUACGUGCCAGCAGCCGCGGUAAUACGUAGGCAGCAAGCGUUGUUCGGAGUUACUGGGCGUAAAGGGUGCGUAGGCGGUUCUUUAAGUCUGGUGUGAAAUCUCCCGGCUCAACUGGGAGGGUGCGCCGGAUACUGAGGGACUAGAGUGCGGGAGGGGAGAGUGGAAUUCCUGGUGUAGCGGUGAAAUGCGUAGAUAUCAGGAGGAACACCGGUGGUGUAAACGGCUCUCUGGACCGCUACUGACGCUGAGGCACGAAAGCGUGGGGAGCAAACAGGAUUAGAUACCCCCGUAGUCC
rnacentral:rRNA from 1 species